rnacentral:lncRNA from 1 species
AAAAAUCCUGGCUCUCCCGCAAUCGAGAGUAGAUGUAAGCAUGAAGUGGCUCCCGGCAAAGCAGAUUGGCUGGAAGUAAUUACAACGUUUAC